rnacentral:rRNA from 1 species
AUUGAACGCUGGCGGCAUGCUUUACACAUGCAAGUCGAGCGGCAGCGCGGGGCAACCUGGCGGCGAGCGGCGAACGGGUGAGUAAUGUAUCGGAACGUAUCCUUAAGUGGGGGACAACUAGUCGAAAGACUAGCUAAUACCGCAUACGAUCGAGAGAUGAAAGUGGGGGACCGCAAGGCCUCACGCUUUUGGAGCGGCCGAUAUCCGAUUAGCUUGUUGGUGAGGUAAUAGCUCACCAAGCCGACGAUCGGUAGCUGGUCUGAGAGGAUGAUCAGCCAGACUGGAACUGAGACACGGUCCAGACUCCUACGGGAGGCAGCAGUAGGGAAUAUUGGACAAUGGGGGCAACCCUGAUCCAGCCAUGCCGCGUGAGUGAAGAAGGCCCUCGGGUUGUAAAGCUCUUUUGUCCGGAAAGAAAAGCAUCUGGUUAAUACCCGGGUGUUCUGACGGUACCGGAAGAAUAAGCACCGGCUAACUUCGUGCCAGCAG